GGCUUGGUGGCAGAGUGGUUAUGCAGCUGCGUGUUAUUCGUAUACGGCGAAGUCGAUGUUUCUGCAGUGGAUGCCCGUUCGAUUCGGGCCCAAGCCG